UACGGAGGGUGCAAGCGUUGCUCGGAAUUAUUGGGCGUAAAGGGUAGGUAGGUGGUCUUUUUAGUCGAAGGUGAAAUCCCCGGGCUCAACUCGGGAACUGCCUCCGAAACGGAAAGACUGGAGUCUUGGAGAGGGUCGUGGAAUUCCCGGUGUAGCGGUGAAAUGCGUAGAGAUCGGGAGGAACACCAGAGGCGAAGGCGGCGACCUGGACAAGUACUGACACUCAACUACGAAAGCGUGGGUAGCAAACAGG
rnacentral:rRNA from 1 species